UUAGGAAUAUUGGACAAUGGGGGGAACCCUGAUCCAGCCAUGCCGCGUGAGUGAAGAAGGCCUUCGGGUUGUAAAGCUCUUUUGUUAGGGAAGAUGAUGACGGUACCUAAAGAAUAAGCACCGGCAAACUUCGUGCCAGCAGCCGCGGUAAUACGAAGGGUGCAAGCGUUGUUCGGAAUUACUGGGCGUAAAGGGCAUGUAGGCGGAUAUCUUAGUCAGGAGUGAAAUCCCGGGGCUCAACCUCGGAACUGCUUUUGAAACGGGAUAUCUAGAGUGUGAUAGGGGACAAUGGAAUACCCAGUGUAGAGGUGAAAUUCGUAGAUAUUGGGUGGAACACCAGAGGCGAAGGCGAUUGUCUGGGUCACAACUGACGCUAAGGUGCGAAAGCGUGGGGAUCAAACAGG
rnacentral:rRNA from 1 species